rnacentral:rRNA from 1 species
GAGACACGGCCCAGACUCCUACGGGAGGCAGCAGUAGGGAAUCUUCCGCAAUGGACGAAAGUCUGACGGAGCAACGCCGCGUGAGUGAUGAAGGUUUUCGGAUCGUAAAGCUCUGUUGUUAGGGAAGAACAAGUGCAAGAGUAACUGCUUGCACCUUGACGGUACCUAACCAGAAAGCCACGGCUAACUACGUGCCAGCAGCCGCGGUAAUACGUAGGUGGCAAGCGUUGUCCGGAAUUAUUGGGCGUAAAGGGCUCGCAGGCGGUUUCUUAAGUCUGAUGUGAAAGCCCCCGGCUCAACCGGGGAGGGUCAUUGGAAACUGGGAAACUUGAGUGCAGAAGAGGAGAGUGGAAUUCCACGUGUAGCGGUGAAAUGCGUAGAGAUGUGGAGGAACACCAGUGGCGAAGGCGACUCUCUGGUCUGUAACUGACGCUGAGGAGCGAAAGCGUGGGGAGCGAACAGGAUUAGAUACCCUGGUAGUCCACGCCGUAAACGAUGAGUGCUAAGUGUUAGGGGGUUUCCGCCCCUUAGUGCUGCAGCUAACGCAUAAGCACUCCCGC